UUACCCCGCCGGACUUAAGCAUAUCAAUAAGCGGAGGAAAAAGAAACCAACAGGGAUUGCCCUAGUAACGGCGAGUGAAGCGGCAACAGCUCAAAUUUGAAAUCUGGCGUAAGCCCGAGUUGUAAUUUGUAGAGGAUGCUUCGGGGUAGCGGCCGGUCUAAGUUCCUUGGAACAGGACGUCAUAGAGGGUGAGAAUCCCGUAUGUGACUGGCUUGCACCCUCCACGUAGCUCCUUCGACGAGUCGAGUUGUUUGGGAAUGCAGCUCUAAAUGGGAGGUAAAUUUCUUCUAAAGCUAAAUACCGGCCAGAGACCGAUAGCGCACAAGUAGAGUGAUCGAAAGAUGAAAAGCACUUUGGAAAGAGAGUUAAAAAGCACGUGAAAUUGUUGAAAGGGAAGCGCCCGCAACCAGACUUUGCGGCGGUGUUCGGCUGGUCUUCUGACCGGUUUACUCGCCGCCGUGAGGCCAUCAUCGUCUGGGACCGCUGGAUAAGACCUGAGGAAUGUAGCUCCCUUCGGGGUGUGUUAUAGCCUCUGGUGAUGCAGCGCGUCUCGGGCGAGGUCCGCGCUUCGGCAAGGAUGAUGGCGUAAUGGUUGUCGGCGGCCCGUCUUGAAACACGGACCAAGGAGUCUAACAUCUAUGCGAGUGUUCGGGUGUCAAACCCCUACGCGUAAUGAAAGUGAACGGAGGUGGGAACUUUUUGUGCACCAUCGACCGAUCCUGAUGUCCUCGGAUGGAUUUGAGUAAGAGCAUAGCUGUUGGGACCCGAAAGAUGGUGAACUAUGCCUGAAUAGGGUGAAGCCAGAGGAAACUCUGGUGGAGGCUCGCAGCGGUUCUGACGUGCAAAUCGAUCGUCAAAUUUGGGUAUAGGGGGCGAAAGACUAAUCGAACCAUCUAGUAGCUGGUUUCCUGCCGAAGUCCCCCUUUCAGGAA
rnacentral:rRNA from 1 species